GGUAGCCAGACCCAACAGCGGCAGCUCCGUUGGGAGCCGCCAGAGCUUUGACCUGUGUCUGGCAUGAAAUGAGUCAGUUUUCCUGAAGUACAGCAGCACAGGUAAGAGUAAGCUGUAUCGUUUGUGGCAGUUUCCUGGGUGUUUUGGAUGUCCUAUUAUUGCAACAAGGGAAUCACAGUAGCAGGAGACGACACUUUGCCUGAUGAGCCAAUGGGCCCACACAGCAACAGUGCUAGCUCCACUCUGACUUGUCCCCACUAAACAGAACACAAGAAAUGGACUUUGAAAAGCCACUAUGAGAAACUAAAAAGCCACUUCUCAAGAAUGUUCACUUUGGGGAAAGCCAACUGCCAUAAAAGAAGUCUGAAUAACUUGAGACUGUCAUGCUGUGAGGAAGCCCAAGCUAGCUCUCUGGAGAAGCCUUGUGAACAAAGAGAUGCUCACCCACCCCCUACCCAUUCCAGCCAUCCACUCCAGGAAGAUAUAUGAGUGAAAGGGCCUACAGAUAAUGAUCUCACCAGGAUAUGAAAAGAGGCUUAGUUUCUUAGUAAAUCAAAUAUAUCUCACUGGAUUCUGAGACCAGGGAAUUAAGAAUCAACACAAUGCUAAGAUAUGAAACCUUCUGGAUGAUACAAAACUGCCUACAGGCAAGACUCAGCGCUAUUGAAUGAAUCAAAAGAAUGUACUUGGAGUUUGUAUUAUUGCUUCAGACAUGGCAAACAUUUGAGCCCAUCUACUCUCAGAUUAUCAUCAUGGACCCUCCAUAAAAGUGACCCUUACUCAACCCUGGUUUGGAAAAAGAUUGUCCUCCAUCUGACCUCUCAUAAGAAGUAUUCCUGCCCAGAUGAAAUGAAGGUACUCACAGAGCCUGAUUGCCGUGAUUUCAGACGAUGAUCAGUUGACAUGGAAAGAGAAUCCUAAAGUUCCUGACCUUUCAGGAAGUGUACUGGAUGUGAGGACACCUGAGAACAAUUGCCUGCUGGAUCCAAGUUCCACAUGCAUGUGGAAAAUCUCUUAAGACCCCUGACUUGAUGGCAUGGCUGGUUUAGGAUUCCACUGUCAGAGAGAGACCCCAACUUCAUCCCCUACUGGAAGGUCAACCUUGAAUCCAGGUUCACUGAGGUGCUGAUCCUAACAGGACGUUACCCGUGAGAGCUAAGUGUUCUUAUUUUGGAGAAGAGCAACAUGGUGGCCAAAAAAGUGGAUCCACAUUCUCUUUCCCUCGAAUCUCUUCACCCAGGUGUUACCAAGUUUUGGUUCACAACCACAGAAGUGCAGGAUAUUGAGGCCUGAGAAUCUGGAUGGAAUGGAUGGAAUGCUCACCUUUUCACCAGGGGGCGACAUGGAAUAUCAAGAGCAAGAGAGAGACCUACCAUACUGCACACAGAAGGGCAGAGGGCGAGGAAGAGAAGAAGACUCCUGGCUGAGUGUGGAGCCUGACAUGGGGCUGGAUCCACAACCCUGAGAUCAUGACCUACCUGAAAUUAAGAAUUAGAGGCUCAAAUUAAGAGUUAGAGGCUCAACGCCCUAUAAAUUUUAAACCAGAAAUUCUAAGUUUUGCCAGAACUUUCUCUGUCUAUGAAGGAAUGGAGCCAUCACCUUCUGCUAUCUGAAAUAAACAAUAUAGAAAGGCUCUGUCCAAGGAAAAAUCAUAAGAUCAGUAGACUCUUACUGCUUUUUCCCCUUACUUCAAUUCCCCUUAUAUCAAGGGGACAUGGGAAUGGCAAUAGGCAUUUGUGAGAUAUGAUUAAUGGGAAACUGUGUUGGGUUAAUAGAAUAGAAUUAUGUGAUUUUUGAAACAUGACUUACAAGUCUAUUUCUUGCUAGUUGUCCCGUGUGGGAUUGGCUCAUUCUGGCAUAGAUGUGCAAGGCCAGAAGUUGGGCUGUUAACGUUAAUGUUAGUUAGAUAAUAUUACCGUAGAAAAUGUUUAUGUGUUAACAUAAACAAGUGUUAACUAGUCAUAUAAAAGUUCUCCACUCUGUUUCUACUUUUUCAGUGUGCAUGAUAAUAAGAUUCUUUUAAUAUGUCCAGUACAACCUAUAAUAAAAAGUGAGAAUAGAAUAUAUUUUGUGAGAGCUUACAUGACCCAUGCAUUCUGAAUAUACAUUUAAAAAAUCAGUCUGUCAUGCCAGAGGCAAGGGUAAAUUAUCUUUCUCAUUUUCUUUAUAGAAAUUAUUUUACAAAGUUGUCCAGUUAUGUCAAAUUAUUCACCAUGUAGCCAAAAUAAAGAGGAAAUGACUAUAGAGUGAAUUGAUCAAUAAAUUACUAAAAAUGUUGUUACUUUUCUGGAUUUUGUGAUGCUUAGGGAA